GAUGAACGCUGGCGGCGUGCCUAAUACAUGCAAGUCGAGCGAACAGACGAGGAGCUUGCUCCUCUGACGUUAGCGGCGGACGGGUGCGUAACACGUGGAUAACCUACCUAUAAGACUGGGAUAACUUCGGGAAACCGGAGCUAAUACCGGAUAAUAUAUUGAACCUCGUUGUUCAAUAGUGAAAUACGGUUUUUCUUUCACUUAUAGAUGGAUCCGCGCCGCAUGAAUUAGUUGGCAGAGUAACGGCUUACCCAGGCAACGAUGCGUAGCCGACCUGAGAGGGAGAUUGGCCACCCGGGCACAGAGACAGGGUCGCGACUCCUGCAGGAGGCAGCGGUCGGGAAUCUUACGCAAUGGGCGAGAGCCUGACAGAGCAACGCCGCGUGAGUGAUGAAGGUCUACGGAUCGGAAAGCUCUGAUGUUAGGGAAGAAGAAAAGUGCAAGUAACUGGGCACGUCUUGACGGUACCGGGUGAAUAAGCCCCGGCUAACUACGUG
rnacentral:rRNA from 1 species